UACGUAGGGUGCGAGCGUUGUCCGGAAUUAUUGGGCGUAAAGAGCUCGUAGGCGGCUUGUUGCGUCGAAUGUGAAAACUCGGGGCUCAACCCCGCGCUUGCAUUCGAUACGGGCAGGCUCGAGUUCGGUAGGGGAGACUGGAAUUCCUGGUGUAGCGGUGAAAUGCGCAGAUAUCAGGAGGAACACCGGUGGCGAAGGCGGGUCUCUGGGCCGAUACUGACGCUGAGGAGCGAAAGCGUGGGGAGCGAACAGG
rnacentral:rRNA from 1 species